rnacentral:rRNA from 1 species
GAGUUUGAUCCUGGCUCAGGACGAACGCUGGCGGCGUGCCUAAUACAUGCAAGUCGAGCGGAGUUGAUGAGGUGCUUGCACCUCUGAUGCUUAGCGGCGGACGGGUGAGUAACACGUAGGUAACCUGCCUGUAAGACUGGGAUAACUACCGGAAACGGUAGCUAAUACCGGAUAAUUUAUUUUCUCUCCUGGGGAGAUAAUGAAAGACGGAGCAAUCUGUCACUUACAGAUGGGCCUGCGGCGCAUUAGCUAGUUGGUGAGGUAACGGCUCACCAAGGCGACGAUGCGUAGCCGACCUGAGAGGGUGAACGGCCACACUGGGACUGAGACACGGCCCAGACUCCGUACGGGAGGCAGCAGUAGGGAAUCUUCCGGCAAUGGACGAAAGUCUGACGGAGCAACGCCGCGUGAGUGAUGAAGGUUUUCGGAUCGUAAAGCUACUGUUGCCAGGGAA